ensembl:snRNA U2 U2 spliceosomal RNA
AAAUGGCCUUUUGACUAAGAUCAAUGUAGUAUCUGUUCUUAUCAGUUUAAUUUCUGAUAUGUCCCCUACCCAGGGACCAUGUAUUAAAUUUAUUUUUGGAACAAGGAGAUGGAAUAGGGGCUCCCACCAUCCACUUCAUGCAUUGAUCUGGUAUUGCAGAACCUCCAGGAAUGGUGAACCCCCC